GGGGAUUUAGCUCAGUGGCAUAAGCACCUGCCUUGCAAGUAGGCGAUCGUAGGUUUGAUCCCCA
rnacentral:tRNA from 1 species